rnacentral:rRNA from 1 species
UACAGAGGUCUCAAGCGUUGUUCGGAUUCAUUGGGCGUAAAGGGUGCGUAGGCGGCGCGGUAAGUCGGAUGUGAAAUCUCGGAGCUUAACUCCGAAACUGCAUUCGAUACUGCCGUGCUUGAGGACUGGAGAGGAGACUGGAAUUUACGGUGUAGCGGUGAAAUGCGUAGAUAUCGUAAGGAAGACCAGUGGCGAAGGCGGGUCU